GGCCUCCCAAUUCUUACCACAGGUUGUGUUCUUUACACUGACUGUAUAGAAAGAGGAGAUACAGUAAAUGCACCCCAUAUACACCUCAACAUGGGCCCUUUGCCUGGUCUGUAUUUUGGGGGACAAAA